CCUACGGGCGGCUGCAGUGAGGAAUUUUGCGCAAUGGCCGCAAGGCUGACGCAGCAACGCCGCGUGGGUGAUGAAGGCCUUCGGGUCGUAAAGCCCUGUCAGGUGGGAAGAAAGGUUUCAAGGGGAAAGACUUGGGAUUUGACGGUACCACCAGAGGAAGCACCGGCUAACUCCGUGCCAGCAGCCGCGGUCAUACGGAGGGUGCGAGCGUUAUUCGGGUGUAGUGGGCGAAACACGCGUGUUGGGGGGGCCCUGGGCUUAACCUGGGAAGGGCAUUGGAAACUGUGUUUCUUGAGUACUGGAGAGGAAGGGGGAAUUCCCGGUGUAGAGGUGAAAUUCGUAGAGAUCGGGAGGAAUACCAGUGGCGUAGGCGCCCUUCUGGACGGUAACUGACGCUGAGACGCGAAAGCGUGGGGAGCAAACAGGAUUAGAUACCCCUGUAGUC
rnacentral:rRNA from 1 species